AACGAACGCUGGCGGCGUGCCUAAGACAUGCAAGUCGUGCGGAAAGGCUCCUUUCGGGAGCACUCGAGCGGCGCACGGGUGAGUAACACGUGGGUAAUCUACCUGAAGGUCUGGGACAACCCCGGGAAACUGGGGCUAAUACCGGAUGAGACCACGGCGUCUUCGGGGCGCAGCGGUCAAAGGUGGCCUCUCCUUGGAAGCUAUCGCCUGCAGAUGAGCCCCGCGUCCCAUUAGCUAGUUGGCGGGGUAACGGCCCACCAAGGCGACGAUGGGUAGCUGGUCUGAGAGGAUGAUCAGCCACACUGGAACUGAGACACGGUCCAGACUCCUACGGAGGCAGCAGUCGGGAAUUUUGGGCAAUGGGCGAAAGCCUGACCCAGCAACGCCGCGUGAGGGAUGAAGGCCUUCGGGUCGUAAACCUCUGUCGGGAGGGAAGAAAGGCUCGCGGGUGAACAAUCCGCGAACUUGACGGUACCUCCAAAGGAAGCGCCGGCUAACUCCGUGCCAGCAGCCGCGGUAA
rnacentral:rRNA from 1 species